UUCCUUUAAUGGUCAUAAACCUUGUGUUUAAAUUUCAUAGAUUUCUAUUUACUUAUACUAAAGUUAUGGUGCGAAAACCAAGAAUAAUGUUUAUUUGGGCCCCUUUUUGGCCCCUUAUUCCUAAACUGUUGGAACCUCAACUCCCAAAAUCAAUCCCAACCUUCCUUUUGUGGUCAUAACCCUUGCGUUUAAAUUUCAUUGAUUUCUAUUUACUUAUACUAAAGUUAUUGUGCGAAAACCAAGAAUAAUGCUUAUUUGGGCCCUUUUUUGGCCCCUAAUUCCUAAACUGUUGGAACCAAAACUCCCAAAAUCAAUCCCAAUCUUCCUUUUGUGGUCAUAAACCUUGUGUCAAAAUUUCAUAGAUUUCUAUUUACUUAAACUAAAGUUAUAGUGCGAAAACCAAGAAAAUGCUUAUUUGGGCCCUUUUUGGCCCCUAAUUCCUAAAAUGUUCGGACCAAAACUCCCAAAAUCAAUCCCAACCUUCCUUUUGUGGUCAUAAACCUUGUGUUAAAAUUUCAUAGAUUUCUAUUCACUUUUACUAAAGUUAGAGUGCGAAAACUAAAAGUAUUCGGACGACGACGACGACGCAGACUACGACGCCAACGUGAUAGCAAUAUACGACCAAAA
rnacentral:lncRNA from 1 species